GAUGAACGCUGGCGGCGUGCCUAAUACAUGCAAGUCGAGCGAACGGACGAGAAGCUUGCUUCUCUGAUGUUAGCGGCGGACGGGUGAGUAACACGUGGAUAACCUACCUAUAAGACUGGGAUAACUUCGGGAAACCGGAGCUAAUACCGGAUAAUAUUUUGAACCGCAUGGUUCAAAAGUGAAAGACGGUCUUGCUGUCACUUAUAGAUGGAUCCGCGCUGCAUUAGCUAGUUGGUAAGGUAACGGCUUACCAAGGCAACGAUGCAUAGCCGACCUGAGAGGGUGAUCGGCCACACUGGAACUGAGACACGGUCCAGACUCCUACGGGAGGCAGCAGUAGGGAAUCUUCCGCAAUGGGCGAAAGCCUGACGGAGCAACGCCGCGUGAGUGAUGAAGGUCUUCGGAUCGUAAAACUCUGUUAUUAGGGAAGAACAUAUGUGUAAGUAACUGUGCACAUCUUGACGGUACCUAAUCAGAAAGCCACGGCUAACUACGUGCCAGCAGCCGCGGUAAUACGUAGGUGGCAAGCGUUGUCCGGGAAUAUUGGGCGUAAAGCGCGCGUUAGCGGUUUUUUAGUCUGAUGUGAAAGCCCACGGCUCAACCGUGGAGGGUCAUUGGAAACUGGAAAACUUGAGUGCAGAAGAGGAAAGUGGAAUUCCAUGUGUAGCGGUGAAAUGCGCAGAGAUAUGGAGGAACACCAGUGGCGAAGGCGACUUUCUGGUCUGUAACUGACGCUGAUGUGCGAAAGCGUGGGGAUCAAACAGGAUUAGAUACCCUGGUAGUCCACGCCGUAAACGAUGAGUGCUAAGUGUUAGGGGGUUUCCGCCCCUUAGUGCUGCAGCUAACGCAUUAAGCACUCCGCCUGGGGAGUACGACCGCAAGGUUGAAACUCAAAGGAAUUGACGGGGACCCGCACAAGCGGUGGAGCAUGUGGUUUAAUUCGAAGCAACGCGAAGAACCUUACCAAAUCUUGACAUCCUUUGACAACUCUAGAGAUAGAGCCUUCCCCUUCGGGGGACAAAGUGACAGGUGGUGCAUGGUUGUCGUCAGCUCGUGUCGUGAGAUGUUGGGUUAAGUCCCGCAACGAGCGCAACCCUUAAGCUUAGUUGCCAUCAUUAAGUUGGGCACUCUAAGUUGACUGCCGGUGACAAACCGGAGGAAGGUGGGGAUGACGUCAAAUCAUCAUGCCCCUUAUGAUUUGGGCUACACACGUGCUACAAUGGACAAUACAAAGGGCAGCGAAACCGUGAGGUCAAGCAAAUCCCAUAAAGUUGUUCUCAGUUCGGAUUGUAGUCUGCAACUCGACUACAUGAAGCUGGAAUCGCUAGUAAUCGUAGAUCAGCAUGCUACGGUGAAUACGUUCCCGGGUCU
rnacentral:rRNA from 1 species